UCGGUAAUGAUGCUGGGGACGCGAGCGGCGGAUGGGUGAGUAACACGUGGGGAACCUGCCCCAUAGUCUGGGAUACCACUUGGAAACAGGUGCUAAUACCGGAUAAGAAAGCAGAUCGCAUGAUCAGCUUAUAAAAGACGGCGCAAGCUGUCGCUAUGGGAUGGCCCCGCGGUGCAUUAGCUAGUUGGUAAGGUAACGGCUUACCAAGGCAAUGAUGCAUAGCCGAGUUGAGAGACUGAACGGCCACAUUGGGACUGAGACACGGCCCAAACUCCUACGGGAGGCAGCAGUAGGGAAUCUUCCACAAUGGACGCAAGUCUGAUGGAGCAACGCCGCGUGAGUGAAGAAGGUUUUCGGAUCGUAAAGCUCUGUUGUUGGUGAAGAAGGAUAGAGGUAGUAACUGGCCUUUAUUUGACGGUAAUCAACCAGAAAGUCACGGCUAACUACGUGCCAGCAGCCGCGGUAAUACGUAGGUGGCAAGCGUUGUCCGGAUUUAUUGGGCGUAAAGCGAGCGCAGGCGGAAGAAUAAGUCUGAUGUGAAAGCCCUCGGCUUAACCGAGGAACUGCAUCGGAAACUGUUUUUCUUGAGUGCAGAAGAGGAGAGUGGAACUCCAUGUGUAGCGGUGGAAUGCGUAGAUAUAUGGAAGAACACCAGUGGCGAAGGCGACUCUCUGGUCUGCAACUGACGCUGAGGCUCGAAAGCAUGGGUAGCGAACAGGAUUAGAUACCCUGGUAGUCCAUGCCGUAAACGAUGAGUGCUAAGUGUUGGGAGGUUUCCGCCUCUCAGUGCUGCAGCUAACGCAUUAAGCACUCCGCCUGGGGAGUACGACCGCAAGGUUGAAACUCAAAGGAAUUGACGGGGGCCCGCACAAGCGGUGGAGCAUGUGGUUUAAUUCGAAGCAACGCGAAGAACCUUACCAGGUCUUGACAUCUAGUGCCAUCCUAAGA
rnacentral:rRNA from 1 species